AAAGGUGAAAAGCACCCCGGAAGGGGAGUGAAAGAGAUCCUGAAACCGUGUGCCUACAAAUAGUCAGAGCCCGUUAAUGGGUGAUGGCGUGCCUUUUGUAGAAUGAACCGGCGAGUUACGAUCCCGUGCGAGGUUAAGCUGAAGAGGCGGAGCCGCAGCGAAAGCGAGUCUGAAUAGGGCGUUUAGUACGUGGUCGUAGACCCGAAACCAGGUGAUCUACCCAUGUCCAGGGUGAAGUUCAGGUAACACUGAAUGGAGGCCCGAACCCACGCACGUUGAAAAGUGCGGGGAUGAGGUGUGGGUAGCGGAGAAAUUCCAAUCGAACCUGGAGAUAGCUGGUUCUCCCCGAAAUAGCUUUAGGGCUAGCCUUAAGUGUAAGAGUCUUGGAGGUAGAGCACUGAUUGAACUAGGGGUCCUCAUCGGAUUACCGAAUUCAGUCAAACUCCGAAUGCCAAUGACUUAUCCUUAGGAGUCAGACUGCGAGUGAUAAGAUCCGUAGUCAAGAGGGAAACAGCCCAGAUCGCCAGCUAAGGUCCCAAAGUGUGUAUUAAGUGGAAAAGGAUGUGGAGUUGCUUAGACAACUAGGAUGUUGGCUUAGAAGCAGCCACCAUUUAAAGAGUGCGUAAUAGCUCACUAGUCGAGUGACUCUGCGCCGAAAAUGUACCGGGGCUAAAUACACCACCGAAGCUGCGAAUUGAUACCAAUGGUAUCAGUGGUAGGGGAGCGUUCUAAGUGCAGUGAAGUCAGACCGGAAGGACUGGUGGAGCGCUUAGAAGUGAGAAUGCCGGUAUGAGUAGCGAAAGACGGGUGAGAAUCCCGUCCACCGAAUGCCUAAGGUUUCCUGAGGAAGGCUCGUCCGCUCAGGGUUAGUCAGGACCUAAGCCGAGGCCGACAGGCGUAGGCGAUGGACAACAGGUUGAUAUUCCUGUACCACCUCUUUAUCGUUUGAGCAAUGGAGGGACGCAGAAGGAUAGAAGAAGCGUGCGAUUGGUUGUGCACGUCCAAGCAGUUAGGCUGAUAAGUAGGCAAAUCCGCUUAUCGUGAAGGCUGAGCUGUGAUGGGGAAGCUCCUUAUGGAGCGAAGUCUUUGAUUCCCCGCUGCCAAGAAAAGCUUCUAGCGAGAUAAAAGGUGCCUGUACCGCAAACCGACACAGGUAGGCGAGGAGAGAAUCCUAAGGUGUGCGAGAGAACUCUGGUUAAGGAACUCGGCAAAAUGACCCCGUAACUUCGGGAGAAGGGGUGCUUUCUUAACGGAAAGCCGCAGUGAAUAGGCCCAAGCGACUGUUUAGCAAAAACACAGGUCUCUGCGAAGCCGUAAGGCGAAGUAUAGGGGCUGACACCUGCCCGGUGCUGGAAGGUUAAGGAGAGGGGUUAGCGUAAGCGAAGCUCUGAACUGAAGCCCCAGUAAACGGCGGCCGUAACUAUAACGGUCCUAAGGUAGCGAAAUUCCUUGUCGGGUAAGUUCCGACCCGCACGAAAGGUGUAACGAUUUGGGCACUGUCUCAACCAGAGACUCGGUGAAAUUAUAGUACCUGUGAAGAUGCAGGUUACCCGCGACAGGACGGAAAGACCCCGUGGAGCUUUACUGUAGCCUGAUAUUGAAUUUUGGUACAGUUUGUACAGGAUAGGCGGGAGCCAUUGAAACCGGAGCGCUAGCUUCGGUGGAGGCGCUGGUGGGAUACCGCCCUGACUGUAUUGAAAUUCUAACCUACGGGUCUUAUCGACCCGGGAGACAGUGUCAGGUGGGCAGUUUGACUGGGGCGGUCGCCUCCUAAAGUGUAACGGAGGCGCCCAAAGGUUCCCUCAGAAUGGUUGGAAAUCAUUCGUAGAGUGCAAAGGCAUAAGGGAGCUUGACUGCGAGACCUACAAGUCGAGCAGGGACGAAAGUCGGGCUUAGUGAUCCGGUGGUUCCGCAUGGAAGGGCCAUCGCUCAAC
rnacentral:rRNA from 1 species